AAUUGGAUAAUGACCAAACCUCGUAUAAGAUCGGGAAUAUGGCUCGAUCGUCUCUACCCAAAAGACCGUAAAUCUUUGGACUACGAGGGAAAGCGGAUCUAGG
rnacentral:ncRNA from 2 species